UACGUAGGGUGCAAGCGUUAAUCGGAAUUACUGGGCGUAAAGCGUGCGCAGGCGGCUUUGCAAGACAGAUGUGAAAUCCCCGGGCUCAACCUGGGAACUGCAUUUGUGACUGCAAGGCUGGAGUACGGCAGAGGGGGAUGGAAUUCCGCGUGUAGCAGUGAAAUGCGUAGAUAUGCGGAGGAACACCGAUGGCGAAGGCAAUCCCCUGGGCCUGUACUGACGCUCGUGCACGAAAGCGUGGGGAGCAAACAGG
rnacentral:rRNA from 1 species